AGAGCGAACGCUGGCGGCAGGCUUAACACAUGCAAGUCGAACGAUCCUUCGGGAUAGUGGCGGACGGGUGAGUAACACGUGGGAACGUGCCUUUAGGUUCGGAACAACACAGGGAAACUUGUGCUAAUACCGGAUGUGCCCUUCGGGGGAAAGAUUUAUCGCCUUUAGAGCGGCCCGCGUCUGAUUAGCUUGUUGGUGGGGUAAAAGCCUACCAAGGCUACGAUCAGUAGCUGGUCUGAGAGGAUGGCCAGCCACAUUGGGACUGAGACACGGCCCAAACUCCUACGGGAGGCAGCAGUGGGGAAUCUUGCGCAAUGGGCGAAAGCCUGACGCAGCCAUGCCGCGUGGAUGAUGAAGGCCUUCGGGUUGUAAACCUCUUUCAAGCAGGGACGAUAAUGACGGUACCUGCAGAAGAAGCUCCGGCCAACUACGCGCCAGCAGCCGC
rnacentral:rRNA from 1 species